CUGCUGGAGGACAGCAACGGUGACGUCACUUAGCUCCGCCCGUGCCUCAAGCCGGACCCGAAGCUGAAGAAAACAGAGAAGAUUACCAUAGACAGACUACACAGACUGGGACAAGAGGAUGAGAAUGCACUGACAUAGUGAGGAGUCAUCUGGGCGUCACAUUCUACAGACAAAAGUUUUAGCUGGACCAGGCGAAGUGGAUCCAGCAAGAGAAAGAAGAGUUAUUUCGCACCGCAUGCAGAAUUAAUAUGUAAGGUAACAGAGAUAUCAUUUAUAAAGUACCAUGUGCCAG